AACAGAGCUAGUAGCCAUUUGGACAGGUGAUCAACUGAAAAUAUAUACCUUCACAUCAAUAGGUUGGUGACUUUUUCAAGCAAGAUUUAAGUGCAAAAGGCUGAAUGUAGUACUUCAAGGUAAGGGCAAAUCACUCUGAAAGCUAGAAAGAGUCUUAAUUGAAUAAAUAAUAUGUGCAUGUGUAAUCUCUCUCUUGAGGAAAACAA
rnacentral:lncRNA from 1 species